rnacentral:rRNA from 1 species
UUGGUUGAUNCCUGCCAGUAGUGUAUGCUUCUCCUAAAGACUAAGCCAUGCAUGCCUUCGAAUACGAGGAAGCAAUUCUCUCUGAAUCUGCGAACGGCUCCGCAAACCAGUUGUAAACUAUAGCAAGCAGGCUCGGGGUCGGCUCUCACGGGCUGGCUUCGGGCGAUAUGGAUAACCCUGGUAAUUCUGAGGCUAAUACAUGAACGUAAAACCUGGUUGACUGGGCUUCGGUCUGGGAGGCUGGGGGAUGUGUGAUUGCAGGCUUGGGUAACACCGGGAAAGGGCGCACGUCCAGACCGCGCUAUAAAGGAUGGGACCUCUUCGGGGGACCCGCCCCAGCGGCUCUUGCUGUGUGCUUCUGACCUAUCAACUAGACGGCAGCGUAAGGGACAUGCUAUGGUGACAACGGGUACAGAGGAUUAGGGUUCGAUCCUGGAGAGUGGGCCUGAGAGAUUGCUCAUACUUCUAAGGAAGGCAGCAGGCGCGCAACGUUCCCCUUGGGCAAUGCCCGAGGGCGUUAGGGGACAUAUGAAUGCCUGCCCAUUGGGUGGGCAAUUCAAAUGGGUCUGUUGUAAACAGGCUCUCGAGUAACAAUUAGAGGGACAAGUCA